CUUAGACCUCAUGACAGAAGUAAUGAUCUGAGCUGCCGACAGAUGCUGAGGAGAGUGGAGACAUGGAAGCUGUGCUAGGACUGUGUCUGAUGUUGCUCAGAGUCUCUCAUGGUGUGGAGACUCAGUGUGACGGCAGACAGGAUGGAGCUCAGUGUUAUGGAGCUGUGGGAGGAACUGUGGCCCUCCAGCUGAUGGACAGCGUUGUAGGACUAGUUAGAUACAGAUGGACAUUCAACAACACAAAAAUAAUACUCAAUGGGAGAAAGAAUACUCCGGUUAAUCUGACAGACAACAGAUACUCCUUCACUCCCAGCAAUGGAACAUUUAGGAUGAAUAACCUGAGAAGGAGUGAUGGUGGUGAAUAUACUCUGCUAAUAUUUGAUUCCAAUGGUACGAACACAGAGAAGCGAACUCUAAAGUUGGUCGUUCAAGCUCCUGUGUCCUCUGUCCGGCUGGUCUCUGAGUGUCUGUCUCAGGGAGAGAUGAGGGUGUCCUGCCUCUCUGAAGGAGGGGACAGUCCUCAGUACAGCUGGACUCUGGAUGGACACACACUGACAGAUGCUGAGCUUCUCACUGGACAUAAUGAAACUAACAACAUCACUCUGAAACAGCAUGUUUCAGGACGUCUGGCCUGCUCAGUCAGGAAUCAUGUCAGUGAUGUCCUGAAACAGCAGAUGAUAUCUACAUGUGGCUUCACCUUCAUUAACUGCACCUCUGAUGGCAAACACAUUUCACAGUGGGUGUUUGCAGCUAAUAACACACUGUGUAUUGAGCCGACAACAGCCUCUUCAACUGUUACAGAAAUGGGGCCCCCCACUGAGGGUAAGGACAGAAACCUUGUAUGCUCUUCUUACAGUACACAUCAAACUGCGGAUUUCUCCAUGAAUCAUGGGCCACGACUCCAGCUCUAAUCAGGUUUUCUUCAGUUGCUUUGAUGCAUUUGACUCAUCAGAAACAUCCUCACACUCUUACUGCAGCUCGUAGAAAAGUUCAUCCUUUCCCCUCACAGCUCAGUGUUUCUCAGUAUAUUUGUACAUCCAUUGUGUCUACACAUAUGCACAGCUUAAGACGUUUUGUCACCGUGUUGAUGCUUGUGUUUCUCAUUUGACACUGACUAUGUUUUUAUCUGGUGAGGGGAAAACAGCUGGAUGUUGCUGACACCGAUGAUUAUGGUCACAUCAGCCAGGGUAAUCAAUAUCUUUCCUGUUAGGUUUUAUCUUCAUUAAUUGCACCUCUGAUG
rnacentral:lncRNA from 1 species